AGCGAACGCUGGCGGCAGGCCUAACACAUGCAAGUCGAACGAAGUCUUCGGACUUAGUGGCGGACGGGUGAGUAACACGUGGGAACGUGCCCUUUGGUACGGAAUAACUCAGGGAAACUUGAGCUAAUACCGUAUGUGCCCUUCGGGGGAAAGAUUUAUCGCCAUUGGAGCGGCCCGCGUCUGAUUAGCUAGUUGGUGAGGUAAAGGCUCACCAAGGCGACGAUCAGGAGCUGGUCUGAGAGGAUGAUCAGCCACAUUGGGACUGAGACACGGCCCAAACUCCUACGGGAGGCAGCAGUGGGGAAUCUUGCGCAAUGGGCGAAAGCCUGACGCAGCCAUGCCGCGUGGAUGAUGAAGGUCUUAGGAUUGUAAAAUCCUUUCACCGGUGAAGAUAAUGACUGUAGCCGGAGAAGAAGCCCCGGCUAACUUCGUGCCAGCCGCCGCGGUAACAC
rnacentral:rRNA from 1 species